rnacentral:rRNA from 1 species
UACGAAGGGGGCGAGCGUUGUUCGGAUUUACUGGGCGUAAAGGGCGCGCAGGCGGCUAUCCAAGUCAGGCGUGAAAGCCCCGGGCUUAACCUGGGAGGUGCGUCUGGGACUGGGUGGCUAGAGUUCGGGAGAGGAGAGUGGAAUUCCCAGUGUAGAGGUGAAAUUCGUAGAUAUUAGGAAGAACACCGGUGGCGAAGGCGGCUCACUGGCCCGUAACUGACGCUGAGGUGCGAAAGCGUGGGGAGCAAACAGG